rnacentral:tRNA from 1 species
CGGGGAGUGGCGCAGCCAGGUAGCGCAUCUGCUUUGGGAGCAGAGGGUCGCAGGUUCGAAUCCUGUCUCCCCGACCA